AUGGCUCAGGAUGAACGCUAGCGGGAGGCCUAAUCAUGCAAGUCGAGCGGUCAGCAAUGAUAGCGGCAGACGGGUGCGUAACGCGUAUGAAACUUGCCCCACACAGGAGGAUAGCCUUGGGAAACUGAGAGUAACCCUCCAUAGUCUUGAGUUGCCGCAUGGUAGCUUAGUAAAACUUCGGUGGUGUGGGAUAGUCGUGCGUCCGAUUAGGUAGUUGGUAGUGUAAUGGACUACCAAGCCGACGAUCGGUAGCUGGUCUGAGAGGAUGAUCAGCCACACGGGCACUGAGACACGGGCCCGACUCCUACGGGAGGCAGCAGUAAGGAAUAUUGGACAACGGACGGAAGUCUGAUCCAGCCAUCCCGCGUGGAGGAAUAAGGCCCUAUGGGUUGUAAACUCCUUUAGCAGGGGAGUAAAAAGGUCAUUUAUGAUCAAUUGAAGGUACCCUGAGAAUAAGCACCGGUUAACUCCGUG
rnacentral:rRNA from 1 species